GGCGCCAUAGCCAAGUGGUAAGGCAGAGNNAGCUCGUCGGGCUCAUAACCCGAAGGUCAUAGGUUCAAAUCCUGUCUCCGCAA
rnacentral:tRNA from 1 species